rnacentral:rRNA from 1 species
AUGGGAGCUUGCUCCCUGAUGUUAGCGGCGGACGGGUGAGUAACACGUGGGUAACCUGCCUGUAAGACUGGGAUAACUCCGGGAAACCGGGGCUAAUACCGGAUGGUUGUCUGAACCGCAUGGUUCAGACAUAAAAGGUGGCUUCGGCUACCACUUACAGAUGGACCCGCGGCGCAUUAGCUAGUUGGUGAGGUAACGGCUCACCAAGGCGACGAUGCGUAGCCGACCUGAGAGGGUGAUCGGCCACACUGGGACUGAGACACGGCCCAGACUCCUACGGGAGGCAGCAGUAGGGAAUCUUCCGCAAUGGACGAAAGUCUGACGGAGCAACGCCGCGUGAGUGAUGAAGGUUUUCGGAUCGUAAAGCUCUGUUGUUAGGGAAGAACAAGUGCCGUUCAAAUAGGGCGGCACCUUGACGGUACCUAACCAGAAAGCCACGGCUAACUACGUGCCAGCAGCCGCGGUAAUACGUAGGUGGCAAGCGUUGUCCGGAAUUAUUGGGCGUAAAGGGCUCGCAGGCGGUUUCUUAAGUCUGAUGUGAAAGCCCCCGGCUCAACCGGGGAGGGUCAUUGGAAACUGGGGAACUUGAGUGCAGAAGAGGAGAGUGGAAUUCCACGUGUAGCGGUGAAAUGCGUAGAGAUGUGGAGGAACACCAGUGGCGAAGGCGACUCUCUGGUCUGUAACUGACGCUGAGGAGCGAAAGCGUGGGGAGCGAACAGGAUUAGAUACCCUGGUAGUCCACGCCGUAAACGAUGAGUGCUAAGUGUUAGGGGGUUUCCGCCCCUUAGUGCUGCAGCUAACGCAUUAAGCACUCCGCCUGGGGAGUACGGUCGCAAGACUGAAACUCAAAGGAAUUGACGGGGGCCCGCCAAGCGGUGGAGCAUGU